AGUCACUACCCCUCAACCUGGAGAAAACUGUUAAACACCUCACCAUGGGGCAGGACCGCAACACUCUUCACCACCUCAACUCCCUGCACCUGCAUUUAACAUACGGAGAGUUACUCAAGGAACGGCAGUCCCUCCUCAACUCCCUCCACCCCCACACCAGCCCUCAACGUGCAGCU